rnacentral:rRNA from 1 species
GACGAACGCUGGCGGCGUGCUUAACACAUGCAAGUCGAACCGAUGGAGCCUAGCUUGCUAGGUGGAUUAGUGGCGAACGGGUGAGUAAUACGUGAGUGACCUACCUUUGACUCUGGGAUAAGCCUGGGAAACUGGGUCUAAUACCGGAUACGACCAAUCUCCGCAUGGGGUGUUGGUGGAAAGCGUUAUGGAGUGGUUUUAGAUGGGCUCACGGCCUAUCAGCUUGUUGGUGAGGUAAUGGCUUACCAAGGCGACGACGGGUAGCCGGCCUGAGAGGGUGACCGGCCACACUGGGACUGAGACACGGCCCAGACUCCUACGGGAGGCAGCAGUGGGGAAUAUUGCACAAUGGGCGCAAGCCUGAUGCAGCGACGCCGCGUGAGGGAUGACGGCCUUCGGGUUGUAAACCUCUGUUAGCAUCGAAGA